rnacentral:rRNA from 1 species
CCUACGGGAGGCAGCAGUGGGGAAUAUUGCACAAUGGGCGAAAGCCUGACGCAGCGACGCCGCGUGUGGGAUGAAGGUCUUCGGAUCGUAAACCACUUUCAGCAGGGAAGAACGGUCACUGUGCUAAUCAGCAGGGAAUUGACGGUACCUGCAAAGGAAGCACCGGCUAACUCCGUGCCAGCAGCCGCGGUAAUACGGAGGGUGCGAGCGUUAAUCGGAAUUACUGGGCGUAAAGCGCUCGUAGGCGGUAGGUUGAGUCAAGGGUGAAAUCCCCGCGCUUAACGUGGGAACUGCCUUUGAAACUGGUCAGCUGGAGUGUGUGAGAGGAUAGUGGAAUGCCAGGUGUAGGAGUGAAAUCCGUAGAGAUCUGGAGGAAUACCAGUGGCGAAGGCGACCACCUGGCACAUGACUGACGCUGAGGAGCGAAAGCGUGGGUAGCAAACAGGAUUAGAUACCCCAGUAGUC